rnacentral:rRNA from 1 species
CCUUUUAGGUGUGACUGCGUACCUUUUGUAUAAUGGGUCAGCGACUUAUAUUCUGUAGCAAGGUUAACCGUAUAGGGGAGCCGUAGGGAAACCGAGUCUUAACUGGGCGAUUAAGUUGCAGGGUAUAGACCCGAAACCCGGUGAUCUAGCCAUGGGCAGGUUGAAGGUUGGGUAACACUAACUGGAGGACCGAACCGACUAAUGUUGAAAAAUUAGCGGAUGACUUGUGGCUGGGGGUGAAAGGCCAAUCAAACCGGGAGAUAGCUGGUUCUCCCCGAAAGCUAUUUAGGUAGCGCCUCGUGAACUCAUCUUCGGGGGUAGAGCACUGUUUCGGCUAGGGGGUCAUCCCGACUUACCAACCCGAUGCAAACUACGAAUACCGAAGAAUGUUAUCACGGGAGACACACGGCGGGUGCUAACGUUCGUCGUGAAGAGGGAAACAACCCAGACCGCCAGCUAAGGUCCCAAAGUCAUGGUUAAGUGGGAAACGAAGUGGGAAGGCUCAGACAGCCAGGAUGUUGGCUUAGAAGCAGCCAUCAUUUAAAGAAAGCGUAAUAGCUCACUGGUCGAGUCGGCCUGCGCGGAAGAUGUAACGGGGCUAAACCAUGCA